rnacentral:rRNA from 1 species
UAAAGCGAUUCAGCGGGUUACGAUUGACGGAGCGAAGCGACGUCAAAGCGUAUACAAAGUCGAGUCGGUUUAAGGAUACGUUCGUUGGGUAGGGGAGCGUUCUGUAAGCCUGUGAAGGUGGCCUGUGAGGGUUGCUGGAGGUAUCAGAAGUGCGAAUGCUGACAUAAGUAACGAUAAAGCGGGUGAAAAGCCCGCUCGCCGGAAGACCAAGGGUUCCUGUCCAACGUUAAUCGGGGCAGGGUGAGUCGACCCCUAAGGCGAGGCCGAAAGGCGUAGUCGAUGGGAAACGGGUUAAUAUUCCCGUACUUGGUGUUACUGCGAAGGGGGGACGGAGAAGGCUAUGUUGGCCGGGCGACGGUUGUCCCGGUUUAAGCGUGUAGGUGUGUGUUCCAGGUAAAUCCGGUUCACUUUAACACUGAGGCGUGAUGACGAGGCACUACGGUGCUGAAGCAACAAAUGCCCUGCUUCCAGGAAAAGCCUCUAAGCAUCAGGUAACAUCAAAUCGUACCCCAAACCGACACAGGUGGUCAGGUAGAGAAUACCAAGGCGCUUGAGAGAACUCGGGUGAAGGAACUAGGCAAAAUGGUGCCGUAACUUCGGGAGAAGGCACGCUGACACGUAGGUGAAGUGAUUUACUCACGGAGCUGAAGUCAGUCGAAGAUACCAGCUGGCUGCAACUGUUUAUUAAAAACACAGCACUGUGCAAACACGAAAGUGGACGUAUACGGUGUGACGCCUGCCCGGUGCCGGAAGGUUAAUUGAUGGGGUCAGCGCAAGCGAAGCUCCUGAUCGAAGCCCCGGUAAACGGCGGCCGUAACUAUAACGGUCCUAAGGUAGCGAAAUUCCUUGUCGGGUAAGUUCCGACCUGCACGAAUGGCGUAAUGAUGGCCAGGCUGUCUCCACCCGAGACUCAGUGAAAUUGAACUCGCUGUGAAGAUGCAGUGUACCCGCGGCAAGACGGAAAGACCCCGUGAACCUUUACUAUAGCUUGACACUGAACAUUGAGCCUUGAUGUGUAGGAUAGGUGGGAGGCUUUGAAGUGUGGACGCCAGUCUGCAUGGAGCCGACCUUGAAAUACCACCCUUUAAUGUUUGAUGUUCUAACGUGGACCCGUAAUCCGGGUUGCGGACAGUGUCUGGUGGGUAGUUUGACUGGGGCGGUCUCCUCCUAAAGAGUAACGGAGGAGCACGAAGGUUGGCUAAUCCUGGUCGGACAUCAGGAGGUUAGUGCAAUGGCAUAAGCCAGCUUGACUGCGAGCGUGACGGCGCGAGCAGGUGCGAAAGCAGGUCAUAGUGAUCCGGUGGUUCUGAAUGGAAGGGCCAUCGCUCAACGGAUAAAAGGUACUCCGGGGAUAACAGGCUGAUACCGCCCAAGAGUUCAUAUCGACGGCGGUGUUUGGCACCUCGAUGUCGGCUCAUCACAUCCUGGGGCUGAAGUAGGUCCCAAGGGUAUGGCUGUUCGCCAUUUAAAGUGGUACGCGAGCUGGGUUUAGAACGUCGUGAGACAGUUCGGUCCCUAUCUGCCGUGGGCGCUGGAGAACUGAGGGGGGCUGCUCCUAGUACGAGAGGACCGGAGUGGACGCAUCACUGGUGUUCGGGUUGUCAUGCCAAUGGCACUGCCCGGUAGCUAAAUGCGGAAGAGAUAAGUGCUGAAAGCAUCUAAGCACGAAACUUGCCCCGA